rnacentral:tRNA from 5 species
GGGGCAUUAGCUCAUCUGGCUAGAGCGUUUGACUGGCAGUCAAGAGGUGACCGGUUCGAUCCCGGUAUGCUCCACUA